GUGCAGUCGAACGUGAAGCAGGAGCUUGCUCCUGUGGAAAGUGGCAGACGGGUGAGUAACGCGUGGGAAUUUACCCAGUGGUUCGGAAUAACGCAUGGAAACGUGUGCUAAUACCGGAUACGCCCUUCGGGGGAAAGAUUUAUCGCCAUUGGAUGAGCCCGCGUCGGAUUAGCUUGUUGGUGAGGUAAAAGCUCACCAAGGCGACGAUCCGUAGCUGGUCUGAGAGGAUGAUCAGCCACACUGGGACUGAGACACGGCCCAGACUCCUACGGGAGGCAGCAGUGGGGAAUAUUGCGCAAUGGGGGAAACCCUGACGCAGCCAUGCCGCGUGAGUGAAGAAGGCCUUAGGGUUGUAAAACUCUUUCACCGGUGAAGAUAAUGACGGUAGCCGGAGAAGAAGCCCCGGCCAACUCCGUGCCAGCAGCCGCGGUAAUACGGAGGGGGCUAGCGUUGUUCGGAUUUACUGGGCGUAAAGCGCGCGUAGGCGGGCUGGUCAGUCGGGGGUGAAAUCCCGAGGCUCAACCUCGGAACUGCCCUCAAUACUGCCAGUCUUGAGUUCGAGAGAGGUGAGUGGAAUUCCUAGUGUAGAGGUGAAAUUCGUAGAUAUUAGGAAGAACACCA
rnacentral:rRNA from 1 species